rnacentral:rRNA from 1 species
GACGAACGCUGGCGGCGUGCUUAACACAUGCAAGUCGAACGGAAAGGCCCUGCUUUUGUGGGGUGCUCGAGUGGCGAACGGGUGAGUAACACGUGAGUAACCUGCCCUUGACUUUGGGAUAACUUCAGGAAACUGGGGCUAAUACCGGAUAGGAGCUCCUGCUGCAUGGUGGGGGUUGGAAAGUUUCGGCGGUUGGGGAUGGACUCUCGGCUUAUCAGCUUGUUGGUGGGGUAGUGGCUUACCAAGGCUUUGACGGGUAGCCGGCCUGAGAGGGUGACCGGCCACAUUGGGACUGAGAUACGGCCCAGACUCCUACGGGAGGCAGCAGGGGGGAAUAUUGCACAAUGGGCGGAAGCCUGAUGCAGCAACGCCGCGUGCGGGAUGACGGCCUUCGGGUUGUAAACCGCUUUCGCCUGUGACGAAGCGUGAGUGACGGUAAUGGGUAAAGAAGCACCGGCUAACUACGUG